AACGAACGCUGGCGGCAGGCCUAACACAUGCAAGUCGAGCGAGAUCUUCGGGUCUAGCGGCGGACGGGUGAGUAACGCGUGGGAAUAUGCCUCUUGGUACGGAAUAGCCUCGGGAAACUGGGAGUAAUACCGUAUGUGCCCUUUGGGGGAAAGAUUUAUCGCCAAGAGAUUAGCCCGCGUUGGAUUAGGUAGUUGGUGGGGUAAUGGCCUACCAAGCCGACGAUCCAUAGCUGGUUUGAGAGGAUGAUCAGCCACACUGGGACUGAGACACGGCCCAGACUCCUACGGGAGGCAGCAGUGGGGAAUCUUAGACAAUGGGGGCAACCCUGAUCUAGCCAUGCCGCGUGAGUGAUGAAGGCCUUAGGGUUGUAAAGCUCUUUAAGAUGGGAAGAUAAUGACGGUACCAGCAGAAGAAGCCCCGGCUAACUCCGUG
rnacentral:rRNA from 1 species